CCGCGCAGGCGCAGCGGUGCCGGGGAGGGCGCGGAUGGCGGCGGGGCCGGGCGAUGCUGCGCUGGCUCGUGGCCGUGCUCAGCCACUCCUGCUUCGUGCCCAGGGCCGCCUCCAUGUUCUACGCGGUGCGCAAGGGCCGGCGGACCGGCGUCUACCGCACCUGGGCGGAGUGCCAGGAGCAGGUGAACAAGUUCCCCUCCGCUAGCUUCAAGAAGUUCGCCACCGAGAAGGACGCCUGGACCUUUGUGCGCUCCGGCCUGCCGGGGCCGCAGCAGCAGCCCGAGCCGGCAGAGGCAUUUGCUCCUCCGGCUGUGACACAUGAAAAUGGUAGCCAGAGAGAGGAACCAGAAUUAAAUACUAUGUGUUGCAGUACAUGUAAAAGGCCAUAUGAACGGUCUACAAAUGAAGAACAGAUUGCAAAGCGUGUAAAACAUGAUGAAGUACACUCCGUUUGCUCAAUUCCAACAGUCAGUGAAGAUAAGUUUUCAUAUAUGGGUGACUUUGCAGUUGUUUAUACAGAUGGUUGUUGCUCUGGUAAUGGACGUAACAGGGCACGUGCUGGAAUAGGUGUCUACUGGGGACCAGGCCAUCCUUUAAAUACCAGUGAAAGACUUCCUGGACGGCAGACUAAUCAAAGAGCAGAAAUCCAUGCAGCCUGCAAAGCAAUAGAGCAAGCCAAGAGUCAAAAUAUCAAGAAGUUAAUUAUCUACACUGAUAGCAAGUUUACUAUUAAUGGUAUUACGAGCUGGGUCGACAACUGGAAAACAAAUGGCUGGAGAACAAGUUCAGGAGGAAGUGUAAUAAAUAAAGAAGAUUUUGAAAGACUUGAUAAUCUAGCAAAAGACAUAGAAAUUCAGUGGAACUAUUUAGGAUGCUGCUUUGUUGGAGUAACUCAUUUACAUGAGUGUCUUUAAACUGGGAAAACUAAGUGUGUGUAAUCCCAAAUAAACCAGCUCUAGUUUUCUGUGCCUUAACUGCAUCUCUUCUAAGGAAAAUUAGUACGAGAAGGCCUUUAAAAUAACAAUUUUUAAAUUGUUUUGCUCUCCAGUAAGAAGUAAACCAACUUCUAUACAGAUGCAUAUUCCUGGUCAUGCUGGCUUCCAAGGAAAUGAAGAAGCUGAUAGACUAGCAAGAGAAGGAGCUUGUAAACCAAAGUGCUGAUGGCCUGGGACUAGAGACUGUUGCACUGGGAGGAAAGGGCCUAACAGGACAGCAACAACUUGAACUGCUGUAAUUGUUUUGGAGCUGAACUUUGAGCUGUACUUCUUUCUGGCCUGAAGCACUAAAUAUAAUCCAACUUCUGGAAAGGAAAAGCGCACAUUUGCUUCUAUUACAUUUGUUUUACAACUGAGACAAUAUUUAGUUGAUGAUACUAAGUAUUUGUUUUUUCUCCAUCUAUUGGAAGGGCUGUGGUCAGUGCUUGUAGCUGUCUUGUGUACUUAUGAACUCACCUUAAAAACAGGCUUCUGAAGAAGUAAUUUUAAAUCAAAGUAUUCUGUAUUUUCCUCUUAAUUAAAUAAAUUUUCUUUUUUUUUUUUUUUUUUUUUUUUUUUUUUUUUUUUUUGUGCAGAGUUAUUUAUUGCAGCCAAAAAUAGUUGGGGCAGACUUUGGGGUUGCUUGAUUUGUUAGGAGGUCACCUAACACAGAUGUCCAUUGGUCCACUCUGGCAUUCUGGUACUGGCAAUAACUGCUCUACAGAUGGGCUUGUAACACUGACCUGUGUGUGCCUCUCAGUGUCAGCUACAGCACCAGUAGCUUUCUUUUAUCAUGUUGUUUUGCGGGGUAGCAUGACCUAAGAAAAAGCCAGGUCACAAGAAAACUUGAACAAUGAAUUUUUACUGUUCUCUC